ACAAGUACCGUGAGGGAAAGUUGAAAAGUACUUUGAAAAGAGAGUGCAAGAGAACGUGAAACCGAUAUAAUGGAAGCGAAUGGAGCUGACGUAUCUGGUGCGUAUUCAGUCGUCGUGCGUUUCGAUUGCUGUCGUUGACAUUCCGCAAGGUUGUGGCGGCAGUAUUGUUGGAGCGUACGGCGAUGCAUUUGCGUACGGAGUGCGCCGAGUCGUGCGGUCUCGUCGGUUGAAGCGUGUCGAGAGGACGUUCCUUCGGGGGCGAAACCUCGGCGCGUGGAGGCCGGUUGGGGCUGCACGAUUUAGUGGGUUGCGUGGGUUUUUCGCGUGUCGUUGGAUCGGUGCGUUUCGUUCGUAGGGCUCGCAUGCGUGUCCUGCUUAUGAGGCGUACGGGUUGAGCGAUGUGCUCUGCGCUCCUCUCGGUGUAUAGUCGGUGACCCAUUCGACCCGUCUUGAAACACGGACCAAGGAGUUUAUGGUAUACGCGAGUCAUUGGGCUUUGAAACCCAUAGGCGUAAUGAAAGUGAGACGUUUACUCGUCUGAAUGCGAUCGGUCGUUGUUUCGACGGCGGCCGAGCAGCAUUGCCCCGUUUCAAGGACUUGUCCUGUUGCGGAGGUUGAGCGUAUGCUAUGAGACCCGAAAGAUGGUGAACUAUGCCUGAACAGGACGAAGCCAGAGGAAACUCUGGUGGAAGUCCGAAGCGGUUCUGACGUGCAAAUCGAUCGUCUGAUUUUGGUAUAGGGGCGUAAGACUAAUCGAACCAUCUAGUAGCUGGUUCCUUCCGA
rnacentral:rRNA from 1 species